GACGAACGCUGGCGGCGUGCUUAACACAUGCAAGUCGUACGGUAAGGCCCUUUCGGGGGUACACGAGUGGCGAACGGGUGAGUAACACGUGAGUAACCUGCCCACAACUUUGGGAUAACGCUAGGAAACUGGUGCUAAUACUGGAUAUGUGCUCCUGCUGCAUGGUGGGGGUUGGAAAGCUCCGGCGGUUGUGGAUGGACUCGCGGUCUAUCAGCUUGUUGGUGGGGUAGUGGCCUACCAAGGCGGCGACGGGUAGCCGGCCUGAGAGGGUGACCGGCCACAUUGGGACUGAGAUACGGCCCAGACUCCUACGGGAGGCAGCAGUGGGGAAUAUUGCACAAUGGGCGCAAGCCUGAUGCAGCAACGCCGCGUGCGGGAUGACGGCCUUCGGGUUGUAAACCGCUUUCAGCAGGGACGAAGCUUUUUGUGACGGUACCUGCAGAAGAAGCACCGGCUAACUACGUG
rnacentral:rRNA from 1 species